rnacentral:lncRNA from 10 species
GUCAUGGGGGAGGUGGUGGCGCUUGGUGGCCACUGGCGGCCGAGGUAGAGGCAGUGGCGCUUGAGUUGGUCGGGGGCAGCGGCAGAUUUGAGGCUUAAGCAACUUCUUCCGGGGAAGAGUGCCAGUGCAGCCACUGUUACAAUUCAAGAUCUUGAUCUAUAUCCAUAGAUUGGAAUAUUGGUGGGCCAGCAAUCCUCAGACGCCUCACUUAGGACAAAUGAGGAAACUGAGGCUUGGUGAAGUUACGAAACUUGUCCAAAAUCACACAACUUGUAAAGGGCACAGCCAAGAUUCAGAGCCAGGCUGUAAAAAUUAAAAUGAACAAAUUACGGCAAAGUUUUAGGAGAAAGAAGGAUGUUUAUGUUCCAGAGGCCAGUCGUCCACAUCAGUGGCAGACAGAUGAAGAAGGCGUUCGCACCGGAAAAUGUAGCUUCCCGGUUAAGUACCUUGGCCAUGUAGAAGUUGAUGAAUCAAGAGGAAUGCACAUCUGUGAAGAUGCUGUAAAAAGAUUGAAAGCUGUAUGUAUUUGAUGGUUGCCAGUGUUGAUCUAUAUGCUAUCAAUAUUUUCUUAAAAGAUUUUGCUCAGUACAUUUUAGUGACCCAGUAAAAACUGUGUUUCUGUUAAAAAGAUGUGGGCUUGCUAAUAAGGAGCAUCUCAGCCAAGCGCGGUGGCUCACUCCUGUAAUCCUAGCACUUUGGGAGGCUGAGGCAGGAGGAUUACAUGAGGCCAGGAGUUUGAGACCAGCCUGGGCAACAUUUCAAGACCCUGUCUCUAUUAAUUUCAAAAAUUUUUUCUUAAAUAAUAAAAUAAUAAUUAAAAAAUUUAAAAGCAUCUCAUGUUGCCCAU